rnacentral:rRNA from 1 species
AUUGAACGCUGGCGGAAUGCUUUACACAUGCAAGUCGAGCGGCAGCGCGGGGGCAACCCUGGCGGCGAGCGGCGAACGGGUGAGUAAUACAUCGGAACGUGUCCUUAAGUGGGGGAUAGCUCGGCGAAAGCCGGAUUAAUACCGCAUAAGCUCUGAGGAGGAAAGCGGGGGCUCCGUAAGGACCUCGCGCUGUUGGAGCGGCCGAUGUCGGAUUAGCUAGUUGGUGGGGUAAAGGCCCACCAAGGCGACGAUCCGUAGCUGGUCUGAGAGGAUGAUCAGCCACACUGGAACUGAGACACGGUCCAGACUCCUAC